rnacentral:rRNA from 1 species
AUUGAACGCUGGCGGCAGGCUUAACACAUGCAAGUCGAGCGGAGAUGAGGUGCUUGCACCUUAUCUUAGCGGCGGACGGGUGAGUAAUGCUUAGGAAUCUGCCUAUUAGGGGGGGACAACAUUCCGAAAGGAAUGCUAAUACCGCAUACGCCCUACGGGGGAAAGCAGGGGAUCUUCGUACCUUGCGAUAAUAGAUGAGCCUCAGUCGGAUUAGCUAGUUGGUGGGGUAAAGGCCUACCAAGGCGACGAUCUGUAGCGGGUCUGAGAGGAUGAUCCGCCACACUGGGACUGAGACACGGCCCAGACUCCUACGGGAGGCAGCAGUGGGGAAUAUUGGACAAUGGGCGGAAGCCUGAUCCAGCCAUGCCGCGUGUGUGAAGAAGGCCUUUUGGUUGUAAAGCACUUUAAGCGAGGAGGAGGCUACCUGGAUUAAUACUCUAGGAUAGUGGACGUUACUCGCAGAAUAAGCACCGGCUAACUCUGUGCCAGCAGCCGCGGUAACAC